rnacentral:rRNA from 1 species
AGUGAACGCUGGCGGCAGGCCUAACACAUGCAAGUCGAACGGUAACAGGAAGCAGCUUGCUGCUUUGCUGACGAGUGGCGGACGGGUGAGUAAUGUCUGUGAAACUGCGCGAUGGAGGGGGAUAACUACUGUAAACGGUAGCUAAUACCGCAUAACGUCGCAAGGCCAAAGAGGGGGACCUUAGGGCCUCUUGCCAUCGGAUGUGCCCAGAUGGGAUUAGCUAGUAGGUGGGGUAACGGCUCACCUAGGCGACGAUCCCUAGCUGGUCUGAGAGGAUGACCAGCCACACUGGAACUGAGACACGGUCCAGACUCCUACGGGAGGCAGCAGUGGGGAAUAUUGCACAAUGGGCGCAAGCCUGAUGCAGCCAUGCCGCGUGUAUGAAGAAGGCCUUCGGGUUGUAAAGUACUUUCAGCGGGGAGGAAGGGCGUACAGUUAAUACCUUGGCUGAUUGACGUUACCCGAAGAAGAAGCACCGGCUAACUCCGUG